rnacentral:rRNA from 1 species
AAUGAACGUUGGCGGCGUGGAUUAGGCAUGCAAGUCGAGCGCGAUGAGUUUGGUAGCUUGCUAUUGAACUCGGAAAGCGGCGAAAGGGAGAGUAACGCGUAGUUACGUGCCCCAGGGUUCGGAAUAGCCACGGGAAACUGUGGGUAAUGCCGAAUAACAUCUCCGGAUCAAAGGUGUGAUUCCGCCCUGGGAGCGGACUGCGUCCUACUAGCUAGUUGGCGGGGUAAUGGCCCACCAAGGCAACAAUGGGUAGCGGGUGUGAGAGCAUGACCCGUCUCACUGGGACUGAGACACUGCCCAGACACCUUCGGGUGGCUGCAGUCGAGAAUCUUCGGCAAUGGGCGAAAGCCUGACCGAGCGACGCCGCGUGCGGGAUGAAGGCCCUCGGGUUGUAAACCGCUGUCGUAGGGGAGGAAGGCUCUGUGAAGAACAGGGUUUGACCUAUCCUAGGAGGAAGUACGGGCUAAGUUCGUGCCAGCCGCCGCCGUAAUAC